UCCUAGGCGACGCGCGGGGAAGGCCGGGCGCGCGCGCGAGCAUUGGCCCCCCCCCCUUCUUUUCCCGCCUCCCCCCCCCCCCCCGGCCCCUCACCUCGCCUCACGGCCGCCGGCCCCGCGCGGGGAGCUGAGGCAGCGCUGAGGCGGCUGGCAGGCGGCGGGCACCCAGCGCCCGGCACCAGGUACCAGGUUGUUAAAACUCAGCAAGAAGAAGGCCUAGAGAGGUACCUUUUCUUCAUCCCCUGAUGUCUUCAGAUUUAGCUACAUUGUGAAUUGCUGAAGUACCUGCUGGCUGUUGUGCUUUUCCUGGAAAAUGUUGGUAGUGCCUCAGAACAACUGACUGCAGCUGCGACAGCAGCACUGCCAUCUCUCCUUGAAAAUACUUGUGCUGCAGAACAAAUAGAACUGCUGAACUCCCACAAAACGGGCAUCGCUCGUACUCACGUGGCAGCUCAGCCAGUACCAUGUGCUGUCUGGUUUCAGUUCCGAGAGGCAGAAAAAAAAGGCACCCUGAAACUGCUAACUGAUGCCCUCAGGCACGUUAUCUGGAAAAUUUGA
rnacentral:lncRNA from 1 species